rnacentral:misc_RNA from 1 species
CUGUUCGAGCGUCAUUACAACCCUCAAGCUCUGCUUGGUAUUGGGUCUUGCUAGCAAUAGCAGGCCUUAAAAUCAGUGGCGGUGCCACCUGGCCCUAAGCGUAGUAAAUCUCUCGCUAUAGGUGUUAGGUGGAUGCUUGCCAGAAACCCUCACUUUAAAAGGUUGACCUCGGAUCAGGUAGGGAUACCCGCUGAACUUAA